rnacentral:rRNA from 1 species
GACGAACGCUGGCGGCGUGCUUAACACAUGCAAGUCGAACGGAAAGGCCCUGCUUUUGUGGGGUGCUCGAGUGGCGAACGGGUGAGUAACACGUGAGUAACCUGCCCUUGACUUUGGGAUAACUUCAGGAAACUGGGGCUAAUACCGGAUAGGAGCUCCUGCUGCAUGGUGGGGGUUGGAAAGUUUCGGCGGUUGGGGAUGGACUCGCGGCUUAUCAGCUUGUUGGUGGGGUAGUGGCUUACCAAGGCUUUGACGGGUAGCCGGCCUGAGAGGGUGACCGGGCACAUUGGGACUGAGGUACGGCCCAGACUCCUACGGGAGGCAGGAGUGGGGAAUAUUGCACAAUGGGCGGAAGCCUGAUGCAACAACCCCGGGUGCGGGAUGACGGGCUUCGGGUUGUAAACCGCUUUCGCCUGUGACGAAGCGUGAGUGACGGUAAUGGGUAAAGAAGCACCGGCUAACUACGUG